AAGCUGGUUAAAAGCUCCGGCGGUGAAGGAUGAGCCCGCGGCCUAUCAGCUUGUUGGUGGGGUAAUGGCCUACCAAGGCGACGACGGGUAGCCGGCCUGAGAGGGCGACCGGCCACACUGGGACUGAGACACGGCCCAGACUCCUACGGGAGGCAGCAGUGGGGAAUAUUGCACAAUGGGCGAAAGCCUGAUGCAGCGACGCCGCGUGAGGGAUGACGGCCUUCGGGUUGUAAACCUCUUUCAGCAGGGAAGAAGCGAAAGUGACGGUACCUGCAGAAGAAGCGCCGGCUAACUACGUGCCAGCAGCCGCGGUAAUACGUAGGGCGCAAGCGUUGUCCGGAAUUAUUGGGCGUAAAGAGCUCGUAGGCGGCUUGUCACGUCGAGUGUGAAAGCUCGGGGCUUAACCCCGAGUCUGCAUCCGAUACGGGCUAGCUAGAGUGUGGUAGGGGAGAUCGGAAUUCCUGGUGUAGCGGUGAAAUGCGCAGAUAUCAGGAGGAACACCGGUGGCGAAGGCGGAUCUCUGGGCCAUUACUGACGCUGAGGAGCGAAAGCGUGGGGAGCGAACAGGAUUAGAUACCCUGGUAGUCCACGCCGUAAACGUUGGGAACUAGGUGUUGGCGACAUUCCACGUCGUCCGUGCCGCAGCUAACGCAUUAAGUUCCCCGCCUGG
rnacentral:rRNA from 1 species